GCCCGCAUAGCUCAUAGCCUCGCAAUUCCUUUAGGUCUUGUGGUAAGAGCGCUCGCCUCAUGAGCGAGAGAACCUGGGUUCGAUUCCCGGGCGGGCG